GAUUAAUUAGUUUAAUAAAAAUAUUAGUUUGUGGAACUAAAGAAAAAAUUAGUCU
rnacentral:tRNA from 1 species